AAAAUCCGGUAGCGUAAUUCAAGGGGUUGAGACGAGUGAACUUGUUCACGAAGCAAUCGGAAGUGGUUCCAAGAAAAGCCUCUAAGCUUCAGUCAUACGAGACCGUACCGCAAACCGACACAGGUGGGCGAGAUGAGUAUUCUAAGGCGCUUGAGAGAACUCGGGAGAAGGAACUCGGCAAAUUGGUACCGUAACUUCGGGAUAAGGUACGCCCUUGUAGUUUGAUUGCUUUACUGCAUGAGGACGAAAGGGUUGCAAUAAACUGGUGGCUGCGACUGUUUAAUAAAAACACAGCACUAUGCAAACACGAAAGUGGACGUAUAUGUGUGACUCCUGCCCGGUGCUGGAAGAUUAAAUGAUGGGGUGCAAGCUCUUGAUUGAAGUCCCAGUAAACGGCGGCCGUAACAAUAACGGUCCUAAGGUAGCGAAAUUCCUUGUCGGGUAAGUUCCGACCUGCACGAAUGGAGUAACGAUGGCCACACUGUCUCCUCCCGAGACUCAGCGAAGUUGAAAUGUUUGUGAUGAUGCAAUCUACCCGCGGCUAGACGGAAAGACCCCAUGAACCUUUACUGUAGCUUUGCAUUGGACUUUGAACCAAUCUGUGUAGGAUAGGUGGGAGGCUUUGAAGCGGGGACGCUAGUUCUCGUGGAGCCAACCUUGAAAUACCACCCUGGUUUGUUUGAGGUUCUAACCUUGGUCCGUUAUCCGGAUCGGGGACAGUGCAUGGUAGGCAGUUUGACUGGGGCGGUCUCCUCCAAAAGUGUAACGGAGGAGUUCGAAGGUACGCUAGGUACGGUCGGACAUCGUGCUAAUAGUGCAAAGGCAUAAGCGUGCUUAACUGCGAGACUGACAAGUCGAGCAGGUACGAAAGUAGGACAUAGUGAUCCGGUGGUUCUGUAUGGAAGGGCCAUCGCUCAACGGAUAAAAGGUACUCUGGUGAUAACAGGCUGAUUCCUCCCAAGUGUUCAUAUCGACGGGGGAGUUUGGCACCUCGAUGUCGGCUCAUCACAUCCUGGGGCUGUAGCCGGUCCCAAGGGUAUGGCUGUUCGCCAUUUAAAGUGGUACGUGAGCUGGGUUUAAAACGUCGUGAGACAGUUUGGUCCCUAUCUGCCGUGGGCGUUGGAAAUUUGAAGGGGGCUGCUCCUAGUACGAGAGGACCGGAGUGGACAGACCUCUGGUGUACCGGUUGUCACGCCAGUGGCAUUGCCGGGUAGCUAAGUCUGGAAGAGAUAACCGCUGAAAGCAUCUAAGCGGGAAACUUGCCUUGAGAUGAGAUUUCCCAGAGCCCUGAGCUCUUUAAAGGGUCGUUCGAGACCAGGACGUUGAUAGGUCAGGUGUGGAAGUGCAGUAAUGCAUUAAGCUAACUGAUACUAAUUGCCCGUAAGGCUUGUCCAA
rnacentral:rRNA from 1 species